AAAUUGAAGAGUUUGAUCAUGGCUCAGAUUGAACGCUGGCGGCAGGCCUAACACAUGCAAGUCGAACGGUAACAGGAAGCAGCUUGCUGCUUUGCUGACGAGUGGCGGACGGGUGAGUAAUGUCUGGGAAACUGCCUGAUGGAGGGGGAUAACUACUGGAAACGGUG
rnacentral:rRNA from 4 species